rnacentral:rRNA from 1 species
UACAGAGGGGGCAAGCGUUAUUCGGAAUUAUUGGGCGUAAAGGGCGCGUAGGCGGCCAUUCAAGUGACGGGUGAAAGCCCUCGGCUUAACCGAGGAACUGCCUGUCAGACUGGAUGGCUUGAGACCGGGAGAGGUGAGUGGAAUUCCCAGUGUAGCGGUGAAAUGCGUAGAUAUUGGGAGGAACACCAGUGGCGAAGGCGGCUCACUGGACCGGCAUUGACGCUGAGGAGCGAAAGCUAGGGGAGCAAACGGG